GGCAUAGGCAUAUAUUUAAUCACAAGCAGAAACAAAAUGUUACUUCUUAGUCAGUCUUAGUCUGAUACCCGUGAACCCAGAACGUAAUUGCAACAGUCCUUCAUAAAAAAGGUAGUAAACUAUAUUCCUAUCCAUUUGGAAGCGGACAAACUACCAUCGUCUGCAAUCAUGCAGCCAGUUCUAGUAGUAGUGUUUGCUUGUAUGCUGGCUACUGUCUCAGCGACUUCAGACCCAUACCACAAUGUACAACCAGAGCUCCCUUUCAUGUUCUCACCGGCAGAUAAUGCAACUUUUCUGGGCGGUAUCAGUGAACAAGAGAACAGUAAGUUAUUUGUUACGGAAAUGCCUAUAUUCGAAACACACAACAUAGUAGUUAUUGUACUCUAAAUCCUAAUUUAUAGAAUGUUUAACUGUAAUAAAUUAUUUGAAAACACAAAUUAUUCAGUGUUUACUUGUAAUCUCUUUGGACUGUAAAAUUGGUAAUCAUUAAAAAGUAAUAAAAAGGC